rnacentral:lncRNA from 1 species
GUGGUGGUACAACGAGGAGGAGGACUCCGACUUCUCCAUCGCCUUCUUAGGCGAUACCGCGACAGCUGUGCGACCGGGCGACAUCGCCUACUUCUUCUUGGCAGGAUCCCUAGGAAUGCUCCAUGGCUUUUCGACGGAAUUCCUCAGCAGGGCCUGCGGUAUAAGGGAUGCGGAAGCUGAGGAGCUCUUCGGAAGCCAACCUGGUGCUCUAAUCAUCACACUGCAGCAAAAGCUGCCUGGCCUCAGAGCAUCCCGAGCCGACAGCGAAGGGAUAGUAGUAAACGCUGAGCGCGUAGCGGCAUAUAUCGAUGUGAAGAGUGGUGG